rnacentral:rRNA from 1 species
AUUGAACGCUGGCGGCAGGCCUAACACAUGCAAGUCGAGCGGAUGAAGGGAGCUUGCUCCUGGAUUCAGCGGCGGACGGGUGAGUAAUGCCUAGGAAUCUGCCUGGUAGUGGGGGAUAACGUCCGGAAACGGGCGCUAAUACCGCAUACGUCCUGAGGGAGAAAGUGGGGGAUCUUCGGACCUCACGCUAUCAUAUGAGCCUAGGUCGGAUUAGCUAGUUGGUGGGGUAAAGGCCUACCAAGGCGACGAUCCGUAACUGGUCUGAGAGGAUGAUCAGUCACACUGGAACUGAGACACGGUCCAGACUCCUACGGGAGGCAGCAGUGGGGAAUAUUGGACAAUGGGCGAAAGCCUGAUCCAGCCAUGCCGCGUGUGUGAAGAAGGUCUUCGGAUUGUAAAGCACUUUAAGUUGGGAGGAAGGGCAGUAAGUUAAUACCUUGCUGUUUUGACGUUACCAACAGAAUAGGCACCGGCUAACUUCGUG